AGACGGAAGCGGGGGUGCCCGCCCGGCCACCGGGCCGGCGGGCUGAGAGAGUCCCUUGGAACCUGAUCCGGUUCGUACCGGCGUAGGGAGCUUCCGGGUGUACCGA
rnacentral:ncRNA from 2 species